ACUGGGGGAUAACACUUAGAAAUAGGUGCUAAUACCGCAUAAGCGCACAGCUUCGCAUGAAGCAGUGUGAAAAACUCCGGUGGUAUACGAUGGAUCCGCGUCUGAUUAGCUGGUUGGCGGGGUAACAGCCCACCAAGGCGACGAUCAGUAGCCGGCCUGAGAGGGUGAACGGCCACAUUGGGACUGAGACACGGCCCAAACUCCUACGGGAGGCAGCAGUGGGGAAUAUUGCACAAUGGGGGAAACCCUGAUGCAGCGACGCCGCGUGAGUGAAGAAGUAUUUCGGUAUGUAAAGCUCUAUCAGCAGGGAAGAAAUACUGACCUUACGGUCAGCAGACGGUACCUGACUAAGAAGCCCCGGCUAACUACGUGCCAGCAGCCGCGGUAAUACGUAGGGGGCAAGCGUUAUCCGGAUUUACUGGGUGUAAAGGGAGCGUACACGGCAGCGCAAGUCUGAAGUGAAAUCCCAUGGCUUAACCAUGGAACUGCUUUGGAAACUGUGCAGCUGGAGUGCAGGAGAGGUAAGCGGAAUUCCUAGUGUAGCGGUGAAAUGCGUAGAUAUUAGGAGGAACACCAGUGGCGAAGGCGGCUUACUGGACUGUAACUGACGUUGAGGCUCGAAAGCGUGGGGAGCAAAC
rnacentral:rRNA from 1 species